AUGAGAGAUGUCCUGAAGGUUUGUCAUGCUCAUGUAGUUGUGUUAAAUUAUAGGGAUGGAAUACUUAUUAUCCUUGUAGGAGGCAAAGAUUUCACCACGUUGCACACACCUGCUUACAUUCUCAACAAAAGUCUACUUCUCAACUCUAAACUUAGCCAAAAGUUUAAUUCUCCAUACCACUGCCAUGGAUGGACAAACAAACACUAUGAUAAAAAGCAAUCUAACAAUUUACACCACUUGGAGAUAUGUAAAUUAGACUAUUUUCUAUAUUAUUUUUUGUUAUUGUGUUUUUACUUGAUUGUGAUUCAGUACAGCCCUUUGGAGAUAUCUAAUAAAAUGUCUUCUCCUUUAAUUUGUUGUGUUUAA
rnacentral:rRNA from 1 species